CCAAAGGCUCUUUUCAGAGCCACCCACAGAGUCAAAAAAGAGUUGU
rfam:Eurypyga helias contig15772, whole genome shotgun sequence.